GACGAACGCUGGCGGCGUGCUUAACACAUGCAAGUCGAACGGAAAGGCCCCUUUGGGGGUACUCGAGUGGCGAACGGGUGCGUAACACGUGAGUAACCUGCCCUUGACUUCGGGAUAACUUCAGGAAACUGGGGCUAAUACCGGAUAGGAAUCCUUGCUGCAUGGUGGGGGUUGGAAAGCUUCGGCGGUUUUGGAUGGACUCGCGGCUUAUCAGCUUGUUGGUGGGGUAGUGGCUUACCAAGGCUUUGACGGGUAGCCGGCCUGGGAGGGCGACCGGCCACAUUGGGACUGAGAGGCGGCCCAGGCUCCUACGGGUGGAAGAAGUGGGGAAUAUUGCACAAUGGGCGCAGGCCUGAUGCAGCAGGGCCGCGUGCGGGAUGACGGCCUUCGUGUUGUAAACCGGUUUCAGCAGGGGCGAAGCUUGUGGUGACGGUACCUGCAGAAGAAGCACCGGCUAACUACGUG
rnacentral:rRNA from 1 species